UACGUAGGUGGCAAGCGUUGUCCGGAUUUACUGGGCGUAAAGGGCGUGCAGGCGGUUUGUUAAGUGCAGGGUGAAAGCUCCCGGCUCAACUGGGAGAGGUCCUUGCAUACUGGCGAACUCGAGGGAGGCAGAGGAAAGUGGAAUUCCCGGUGUAGUGGUGAAAUGCGCAGAUAUCAGGAGGAACACCGAUAGCGAAGGCAGGUCUCUGGGCAUUAACUGACGCUGAGGAGCGAAAGCAUGGGGAGCGAACAGG
rnacentral:rRNA from 1 species